GAGGUUAUGCGGGACUCAUCCUCAGCAAGUUUUUUGGUUUACAAAAUGUUUCUUCUUCCGCGCGAGGGCUCUGGAAAAAUGCGUGAAACGUGCCGUUGCUGACAGCAUUGGGCUCGCGACGUAACACGAUAAAAGCAGUGGACCUGAGCGCGCGUGGAACCGCAGCUGCGAUAGUAUUCUCUCCACGUGCGCAGCCAGAGAGUCACUGACUGCUGAAGUUCCCCGAGCUGGGGUGUGGAGAGGAGCUACGAAGGUCCGCCCAGAAAGAGGUUAAGGAGGAGGAAUGGGGUCACCGACACUGCAGUUUGUUUUUCUUUCUCUUUUGAUUACAGGUGUAGGCUACAGCUGCCAAGACAUUAUGGCAGCCAACAGCUGUGAAGGCUCUUCCGACUGUUUCGUCACAUCCUGGGCAUUUAAGGUGUUUUACACUUGAAGCAGACCUGAAGACCAGCAUGCUGUAUGUGAAAGCAACCACAGCAACUACACAAGAACUGAGCUACAGCACGAGAAGUGAAAGAGAGAUGGGCGAGAGAUGUGACUCAUGACCACCAUACAACAACUUUCAACUGUUUUUUUUUUCAGCAUUUGAUUUGCAUUUCCAGACCCUUUCAAUAACAUCAGGUAACAAUUUUAAAGGUUCACCAAAAAGAAACUGAGAGAAAAUAUCUUUUGCUGAUAAUUUAUUUAUUUGGAAGGACCGCAAGACAAAUAUUAAAGGAAUAGAUUUUGGGGAAUGCA